rnacentral:rRNA from 1 species
AAACUAGGAUUAGAUACCCUAUUAUUAAUAUAAGCUGAAAUUGGAGAAUUUUAGGUAUUAAAUCUUAAGAUUAUGGCGGUAUUCUAAGCUUUUAGAGGAAUUCAUUCUUUGAUUGAUAAAACUCAAAAAUCUUACUUAAUUUUGUUAGGCAGUUUGUAUAUCGCUAUCAUUUAUAAUUAUACUAUUUGGUUAUGAUUUUAAUUAUUUUAUUUUAAAAAUGUUAGGUCAAAAUGCAGUGUAAAAUUAAGGUUGAAAUGGGUUACAUUUAUUGAUAUAUGUGGAUUUGAAAUAUUAUUAAGGAUUUAAUAGUAAGUUAAAAUUAUAAUGUUUAACUGAAAGAAGCUCUAGGAUAUACACAUAUCGCCGUCGCUCUCACUUGAGAUAGCGAGAUAAGUCGUAACAUAG